rnacentral:lncRNA from 1 species
GGGCAAAACACUGUGCCCAGCCAGCCCCUCCUCUGAGCACUGUGACAUAUCGCAGACACCCGUGCAUCCACAGGGCAUGUUGUCAGCACGCUGAAGGGUUAAAUUACUUGUUGAGCGAGUGGACGGCACAAGGACUGACCUUAAAUGUGGACUAAUCAAACCCGUGUAAUAGUGACGCAAGACAUCAUUGAAAAACUAUGGGAGAAGAGUUGGAACUUUCUCUAGAAAAGUUCAUUAAUGACCAUUGACAGGAAAGCCCGGCAGGCUGCAUGCAGUCCAGGGAGUCGCAAGGAGUCAGACACGACUGAGCAACUGAACAUCAUCAAUGACGAGAAUAGAUCAUAUACAAUAGAUUAUAGAUCAUAUAUAAUCUAUAUACAGUCAUGGAGAACUGAGAUGGAUACUUGAGAAAAAAAAAAACAAAAAAGCUUGUUCUCCCCUCGAAUUGAAAUCACUCCCAUCAUUGAAGUCAAAGGUGAAGUAGAGAAUUAAUUUUCUUCUCCAUUUUCCAUUGAUUUAUUAAUUGUAAAGGUAGGCUUGUGCUUACCUGAACAGGCAAGAAUACAAUUGGUAUUUCAAGUCACUUUUACUCUUUUCAUGCCCUAGUCUCUCUCACCUUAAAAUAUACCCUCUCUCCCCCAGUGUUUAGGACUUGACAGUUCCACUGCCAUGGCCCGGGGUUCAAAAUCUGUUGGGGGAACUACCCACAAGCCACUUGGCGCAGCCAAAAAAUAAAAAUAAACAUCUACCCUUAAUCCUUAGAACUGUCAGUUGAUUUAUCCCCUUCUCAUUGAAAAACCUGUGAAAGAAUUGUGGGCUCAUGAAUUAUCUCCAUUGCCUAGUUUUGUGUUUGUCCUUCAGAUUUCUCCACUGUGGCUUCUAUUCCCACGGCUCUGCAAAAAGUGCUCCCUCCACGAUAGCCGGUAAUCUCCACAGCGUCCACCCCGCGGAGUAUUUCUGGGUCCUUGUCUUCCUGGAAUGUUCCUUGGAGGACCAUCUGAGAAUCAUUCUAUUGCACAUGAAAGAAAAACCCACUCAAAUUGUGGCAGACAAAACUAUUGCACAGUGCCUCCCAGUGAUGCUGGCCCGUCGGGUGCUGCCAGGCCCCCAGCGUCUCCCCGCACACGUCCAGGUCUGCCUUUCCACAGAAAGUUGGGAAAUAGAAAUUCUGACUUUUUCAGCUGCAUUACAAAGCAUAAACAUGAAGGUAUGAGGACAACCUUCGCAGAGUGCCAGGGUGGCUUGUGCUUACAGCCAUGGAUUCAUUCCUCAAGGAUUCACAUGGAUCUGAACACCCUGCAUCAUCUGCUAGAGAUUUAUUACAACAUGGCUCAGGAAAACAGGUUACAGGACCCUUUUAAAAGGGAGUACUGCCUCUUGAUGGAACCCCAGCUGUAA